GAUGAACGCUGGCGGCGUGCCUAACACAUGCAAGUCGAGCGCGUCUGAUUUGAUGCUUGCAUUGAUGAAAGAUGAGCGGCGGACGGGUGAGUAACGCGUGGGUAACCUGCCCUAUACACAUGGAUAACAUACUGAAAAGUUUACUAAUACAUGAUAAUAUAUAUUUACGGCAUCGUAGAUUUUUCAAAGUGUUAGCGGUAUAGGAUGGACCCGCUUCUGAUUAGUUAGUUGGUGAGAUAACUGCCCACCUGGGGGACGAUAGUAGCCGACCUGAGAGGGUGAUCGGCCACAUUGGAACUGAGACACGUUUCAAAUUCCUACUGGAGUGGCUGUUGGGAGUAUUGCACUAUGGGCGCAUUUUUAUGCAUGUACGCCUGUGAAGUGUGAAGUCUUCGGUCGUUUUGUCGGUUUUGAGUGAAGAUAAUUGUUUGGUUUGAGUGUUCCUUGGUGCUAUUGUGUGUAUGGGUGUAUUGUUGGGGUGUGGGUUUCGUCUACUGUGUGUGUGGGUGCGUAUUGUUUUGUGUGUUUUUUUUGUGUUUGUUUGUCUUUGUUUGCUUGCUUUUUGGUU
rnacentral:rRNA from 1 species